UAUUAAGUAUUUAUAUUGCAAUAAACUGGUGAAUAGAGACAUCCGUAAAAUUAAUAAUUGUCUUUACAUUGGAGCUAAACAACAACAAGUUACUUAAAACAAAACCAUAUCAAUUAUUUUUCUAAACAGAUGAAAAUAUAUGUAUAUUUUGAUACAAUUCUACGAACAUCAAUUUCUUUCAUUAACCUCUAUCCUUAAUAAUAAUGACAUUCUAAUAUAGAUUCGAGCAAAUACAGCAAGAAGGUACUCUACUAAAAAUUAAUAAAGUUAAGAAUGUCCGUCUGGUUGACGUUAGCUGAAAACUUUUUUUGAUGAUGUCACAACGGAGCCAAGUUCAGUAUUACUCACCACUGAUAAGUGUUAAUUAAUCAUAAUGAAUAAAUACUAGGAGCCGAGCGAGGGUAAAAAAGUUGUGAACGGCGUGGAAAUACAUUUAAUUCAUAGUAAUUCGGUUGGAUCUUCCGUACGAAGGAUUCGGAUAUAUUCAUCAGCAUCCACCCAUACUUUCCUAGGAAUUCAUAUCUUUCCAUUUGGAUAAUCAAUACGUCUUCUGAUCCUCUCUUCAACUUCAUGUUAAAGGGACUUCGCCUCUUAGUUUUUGCGCCUCACUCGGUGGAUAUCAUCUUAUUUAAUGGAAGAAUUGUGCAUUGUACAAAUGCGUUUCACAUCAAGGUCUAUGAUAGUGACUUUUGACCUCGUGAAUCAUUGCCUCUACGCUCAAGAAUUUAUAUUUUUCCAGAUAUUUUACGAGAUCAUCGUAUACUUCUAUAUAUAAGAACUAUGGAGUUCCAUAAAACGACAGAAUAAUCGACUGAAAGAUCCAGUGAGGACCAUUGGUACUUCUCAUUCUUCAUCCACUGCUCCUUAAUUUAAGUUCUUGAGUCCUUUUCUUCUUAAGUAAACUCUACUUCGUCUUUUACUCUAAGAAAA
rnacentral:lncRNA from 1 species